rnacentral:pre_miRNA from 7 species
UUCAUAGAAUUGUAACACCCCAUUUUGGGGACCCCUCACUCUAGUCUCGGGAGAGAGAGAUCACCCAAAGAAACACGAGAAUCC